CAGGCGUAAAGCACUCGCUUCUGAAACUCCCUGCACGGACACCCAGCUGCUCGUGUCUGUCACCAGUGACAUGCUGGAGCCCAAAGCAGCCUCCCUGCCACACUUCCCUCCAGGGAGUACCAUGUGCUCUUCUCCGAGGUGCUGGCUUGGGGACACGUGCUCGACCCCUGACCUGUGUCCCCAGGUUGUGGAGUUCCUGAGCUGAGGUCUCACUGUGCAGCCCAGACUGGCCUUGAGCACUCCCCAGCCUCCUCCCGCACCUCCACGGGGCUGGGAUUGCAUGCGGUGCCACAAGGCCCAGCGAACAGCUCCUGUUUGUAGACGCAGACACCGCGGGCGGGGCGUGCGUGUGACCGGGCAUCACCGCUGGCACCGACAGCACAGCGGCAGCGGCAGAAUGCCUGUGUGCGCCGAGGGGGCUGUGGGCAUCACGUGCACCUCGGCUCGGGCUCAGCGAGCCCACAGUGCAGCCGCUGCCCUGGGAAGACAGGGAGAAAACUGGGUCUAACAAAGUCAGGGCAGGCACGUGUGUGUCAGAGAGAAUUCGAGGACAGGGCGGCGCACCCCAGUUCCAAUGUUCUGUAGUUAGAACAGUCGAAAGCCUUCUCCACGAUCUUUGAACUUUUUAUAGAAUUUCUUUUUAAAGACUUAGACAGUGUGAAGCUAAGCCCGCAGAGCCACUGAUGGGCGCAGCCGUCUUGCGGGGCGCACGCUGGGUGACCUGCCAGAGCGCGUGUGCGGUGGGGAACGCGCGAACGCCUGCGGUCCUGCGGUCCCCCCGUCCCCCGUCCUCGGGGCUCUGGACUCGGAAGAGACGCCGCUCCAAGAACUAGGCUUUGUGUGCGCGACUAGGGCAGUAAACGGGAGUGGAAACUCCAACUGGAAUGCAAAACAUUUCUGCUUCCAAGAUGGGGCGCGGCAGCUCUAGCGGCCAUUCGGGGUCCCGGCAGCUCUGAAGACCCCGCUGGCCGGGCGAGGCGCCUGUCGCAGGGGAAGCCCUGAGUGCCCACGGCAGCGGGUCGUCCAGCAUGGGGCAGGCACCUGUAAUCCCAGCAUUCCAGCGGUGGAGGACCGGAAGUUCAAGGUCACCCUCAACCACAGGAUUAGUUCAAGGCCAGCCCAGAACACAGGAGAUUCUAGCUCAAAAACAAAACAAAAUUUCAGCCACCUUUAUUAUGAACUACAGAAAUCCCAACCUCGGGAAGUCCGGAAGGAAAUGCAACAAGUUUAAGUCUGACAUGUGCCAGCUGUGUGCUAAGCCAAGGAGCCUUGUCGUCCAUUCGAGCGGUAAUCAAGAGAUGGUCAGGAUGGAUCAGGACUAACAUCCAACAGCCCAGUUCCACAAGGAGCCAAACUGUUUGGGGAAGCAGACUGCUCCUGGCCCUGAGAGCUUCGAGAGUGUGGGCUUGCUGACCUGUGGUUCGAGCAGGAUCAAAGAUGGCCCGUCCAGGCUUACAAUCCGACUAAAACCUAGAGGCCUCGGGGUUGGUGGUGACAAUACAAAUCAGCAUCUCGACUUCGUCAGCUUUUCCUUUUCCUUUAAGUGUGCAGGGCGGUGGGGACUUGGAGGUUUCCCCACAGAGGGAGCUUUAGUACGAGCCCCUUGAGAAUGGAGGCGAUACCCCAUCGUCAUGGCAGGCGUUGCUGAAGCCCCGGUGGAGCUCAGGCAGCGGGCUGGCCCUCUCCCCUUCCUCUCGGUGACCCCUUCUUUCUCUCCCUCAGCACUCAUGACUAGUGCGCGGUCACAAUGCCCGGUGGAAGAGGUAUGUUCACGCCAGCGAGACUUAAGGCUCGGGAAAGUGCUGUCUGCUGAUCCCAGCUGUAGGGUGCCGGUGGGGUGGCACACGCGUGAUUCUGACCAUACGCCCUUCUCACCAAUCAGACGCCUCCCUGUGCUAGUAGACACUUCCUCAGUGCGGCUCGCUCGGCCUUGAUGCAUCCGGUGGGGCCGGAUGACGCCAUGAGCAUGCCCCAAGUCAGGCUGCAUCUGGGGGUUUGGAUUUCCGAUGCUGGGGCUUCAGUCUGUGCAGCCCGGCACAGGUUCUGCUGUCUGGGCUCUGAGUGUCAGAUUCUGUUCCCACCUUCACUGGUGGCGCUCAGCUCUGGCAGCCACGCUCAGGGAGGAGCUGGGAAAUGAGAAAGAGAUGCCUGCUUCCGAUCUUUCCACACUGGGAGAGUGUGAGGAGAGGUGGUGAGAGCCAGCGUUCCAGGAGUCUGUCUCCCCAGCAAGGCCCCUGGGCACAAGUCUACGGUAGAGACCCGAUCCCACCCGCUAAAGAAAACUUUGGGAAUAGAGAAAAGAUUCCGGUAACUUAAAAUGGAUCUCCAAGUGUGAGAUUCACCCCGUUGUCCACCGAAUUGAUUUGACUUAUAAGUAAAUUCAGGAAAAACUUAAGCCAUGGAACGUUCAUUUGGGCCGCGUGAGUAGACAGUCUCACUGUGUAGCCCUGACCAGCCUGGAACUCAGUGUGUAGACCAGGCUAGCCCUGACCUCAAUGAGACCUGCCUACCUCUGCCUCAGCGCUGGGGUUAAAGGUGUGUGCCACCGUGCCUGGCUGCUGAGGAGACUUUUAUGUUUGAGACUUGAGGGAAAGUCAUUGUUUCACACACAUUUUUGUGAAAGUCAUGAAGGUGUUGGGAAUACCUUAUCGUUAUUUCUUUAAGGAGUAAAACUAGUGGGAAGUCAGAAAAGUUAGAAAAUAGGUAGAAGUUUUAUUCUACACUGUUUAUAAUAGUAAUAUAAACUACUGUAUCAGGAUAGUCCUGUAGAUAAAAUUUAAUUUUUUUUUCUUCCCAUUGUUAUUCCACAUCAUAAUGUCAACGUCCCUGCCAUGGAGUUUCUAUCUAAUAACUCUUUUCUCUGUUCAAUCUUCACACUGUGAUUUUUCAGAACUUUGGAUGAUAUUUUAGACACUAUUUGAAAUCUGAUCAUGUUAUUCUGCAAUACAAAUACAUGAUUAUAAUUAACAGUGCCACAUUUAGAGAUUACUUUGAUUGGUCUUUUUACUGGUAUUAAAAGCAAUAUCUUCUGUAGCGUCCUGCACAGGCUGACUUCUAAUUGUAUAGACUAUAGAAACGCAAUCUUGAUUAACUUUACUUACAUGGUGCCACACUGGUUUAUUUCCUCUCACAGCUUCCAGGACCUGUAUCCAAAGUGACCUUCCUCGGGAUAGGAGGUAUGACUGCAUGUGUAAUAGAGGAUGUUCCGAUUAUGUAAAUUAAAGUAUCAUCGGUCGCCAGGUGAUUUCAUCUUCCUACACAGAGCUGCGUGACUUGUGCCUCGUCAACCCAGCUCUGAGUUCAUCUCUAAGAAAUGAAGGUUUUUCUUGAGAGAAGUGACACAGGCCUUAGGAGAUUCUUCUGUGUUUGCUGAAUUCAAUUUUAAAGUAGUUAUUAAGUACUUAAUAAACAUUGCCAAGAUAUAUGGAUGGAGGGCAGGGUAGAAAAUGGGUUGGAAAGAUAAAAGAAGAGGCAGGCUAGAUCGAUAUAUGGAUGGAUACA